GACGAACGCUGGCGGCGUGCUUAACACAUGCAAGUCGAGCGGUAAGGCCCUUUCGGGGGUACGACGAGCGGCGAACGGGUGAGUAACACGUGGGUGACCUGCCCUCAGCUCUGGGAUAAGCCUGGGAAACCGGGUCUAAUACCGGAUAUGACUCCAUGACGCAUGUUGUGGGGUGGAAAGCCUUGUGCGGCUGAGGAUGGGCCCGCGGCCUAUCAGCUUGUUGGUGGGGGUGAUGGCCUACCAAGGCGACGACGGGUAGCCGGCCUGAGAGGGCGACCGGCCACACUGGGACUGAGACACGGCCCAGACUCCUACGGGAGGCAGCAGUGGGGAAUCUUGCGCAAUGGGCGAAAGCCUGACGCAGCGACGCCGCGUGAGGGAUGACGGCCU
rnacentral:rRNA from 1 species